rnacentral:rRNA from 1 species
UACGAAGGGGGCUAGCGUUGCUCGGAAUCACUGGGCGUAAAGCGCACGUAGGCGGAUUGUUAAGUCAGGGGUGAAAUCCUGGAGCUCAACUCCAGAACUGCCUUUGAUACUGAAGAUCUUGAGUUCGGGAGAGGUGAGUGGAACUGCGAGUGUAGAGGUGAAAUUCGUAGAUAUUCGCAAGAACACCAGUGGCGAAGGCGGCUCACUGGCCCGAUACUGACGCUGAGGCACGAAAGCGUGGGGAGCAAACAG